ensembl:lncRNA
GGCAGCCGGAGGCGCAGGGCCGCGCCCUGGGAAGGAAGGAGUGCGAGAGGAAACCACCGUGAGCCACAGGGCCCAGCCAGGAGCAGGAGACCCGGGUUCGAGGGAGCCUGCCGGCGGCUGCCCGGGGGCCUGUCCCGCACCACUCACCAGAUGUCGGAGGCUGCGCUCACGGCUGUCUGCUGGAUGAUCUCAGGGGACACGAACUCGGGCGCCCCAUACUUGCUGUAUUGCGGCUCCGAAGGCGCCCCAUCAAGCCCAGGGGUUGGGGUACCUUUAUGUCCAGGUGGAGGACAUCACGACUGUGCAGGUACUGCAGCCCCUCCACCAGCUGCUGGAUGUACACCUUGACCUGGGCACGGGCGGGGUCCAGGGCAAGACACGGUCAGUGUGGGCGGAGAUGACUCGGAGUCUGGGGAACCCACAGCCCAAGGAGCCCUGCACCCCACUCACCCCUGAGGACCAGCAGUUCUGCCUUGCAGAGCACCUGGCCACCAGCAUUGUGGGCCAUGCAGGUGUAGACCCCAGCAUCUGGCUGGGCCGCGUUCAUUAGCAUCAGGGAGUAUGAAGUUCCAUCCUGUCGCUGCUGGAGCCGGGCGCUGUCCACCAGCUGGAUGCCAUCCUGGGGAUGAAGACAGCCAGGAGCCAUCAGCCCAGCCCCGGGGGUGCCCAUACUGUGCUCACCCCACCCUGCGGAGUGCUGCUCCCCACGCCUGCUGCGUGUGUGUCCAGCCCCGAAGGGCUGGGGAAACACACAACAAGGGCAGUGAGAUGGGGCUGGGAUGGCAUCUCAUCCCCCACACAGGGCCUCCUCUGACCUUGUACCAGGUCACGGUUGGCUGUGGGUUGCCCUCGAUGACAGCCUCAAACUGCGCCGUGCCACCUGCCUGAACCUGCACAUCCUCGAUGGUGACUUGCAUGGACGGGGCCCCUGGAAGUGGUCAGGGAACUGAGGGCAAGGUCCCUGGAACCCAUCAUCCACAGGUGGUCAGCGAGUUUCCAGAUCCCCAGGGUGCCAGCCCCUCCCCGUGACAGGCCCCGCCAUGGGAAGAGCUUUCCCCUGUCCAGCCACCAUCUCUCCCGCUGCAGCCUCAGUGGAACAACGCAUCGUCCUCAAAGCCACUGAGGACAGAGCGAGCAGACCCUGAGCCUGCUGCCCUCCAGGGCAUGUCGCAGCUGCAGCAGAGCCUGGCCGGCACCCCCCCGCCCCAGCACCAGGGCUCGUACUUGCAGCACGCACGUCGGUGGCCUGGUACACAUGGGUGCUCUGUGUGGUCUCGGUGACCACGUGCCUCUGGACAUCCCAGAGCAGCUGCCCCGGCCCAGCCACCAGCUGGGAUGCAUCUUCCACCCUGGAAUCACAGAGGCCACUGAGCCUGGCAAUAGACAGGGUCCCCACCCCUCGGGGCGUCCCCUGUGUUGCGCACAUCCCCCGAAUCCCACCGCAGGGCCCGCUGGCCGGGGAAGUUACCAGAUGGGCACCGUCCGUCCCUGGGCCCCUUCAGCGGACGCCAGCUCCCGCUCCAGGCCUUCAUGGGGGAGGGGCUGUGUCACCUCCGGGGGACUGGCUGGUUGGGGACAAGCAGUAAGGAGGGCGGCGAGGGUGGCUGAGGACACCAGCCAGUGUAGAGAGGAGCUCAGAAAUCAGCAGGGAGCCACGGUCCACUCAAGCCCCAGGACCCCCCACUGCUCAGCCACGCAUGGUGCCGCGUGGGGGCUCCAUCCCCGGAGUCCUGCCUGCUGGCCAGGCCAACUGCCUGCCAAGGGACCCGACCGGCCUUGGACUCCCCAGGCCCAGCUGGGGCUUCAGCAGCUGCUGAGGGGCCAGGGGCCACCCAGGGACAGCUCUCCUGCCUGGGUAGAAACAGGGCUCAGGACAGCCUAAGGGGACAGAGGUGCAUCUUGGGAGAAUGAGCCUCACUGCCUGCUGCCUGGGCGUAGGCAGAUGUCCAGCACCGGUGUCUGGGACCAUCAGGCAGAUCUCCCCCAACAUGCACCGCUGUGGUCAAUGCAUCAAGCCCUCUGGGGUAGGCUGAGUCAGGCUGCACAGGAGGACAAGGCGGGGCACCAGGGAACAGAGCCAGGGAGGGGUCUAGGGCUGUGCUCACGUCAGGUUCACCGGCACUGGUGUCAGAGACCACAAUCACAGAACUUGGGGCCCAAUGUUCCUGGCACAGGACGAAGCCAGGACCCAGGAGGCCCAACCACCAGUCAGCCUCUGCUGUGUCCUCCCUGUGACAGCAGCCUAGUGCCCCUGCUGAGGUGGUGACAGGGGCAGGGAGGGGCCCCCGAGCUGCAGGCCCCUGGGACAGACACAGCGCCCAGAAGACACAUGCUGGCCCUAGCUGUGGAGAGAGCUCUGGCUGCCUAGGGCCGCAGGCUGCUAUGCCAGUGCCUGUCCCCUGCCCAAGGACAGGUGGGCAGCAGGGAGCCCCCGCUGGUGGGUGGGGCUGAGGGCCUGACAGAGCAUCUGGGCUGUGUGCCAGGGCAGGGGCCGUGUGGACAGAGGACCGGAUGGGGUGGACGGGCGGCCCAGGACUGUCCCUGGCUGACCAGCCCGACUCAAGCUCCCCCCAGGAGCUCAGCACGCUGGCUACAGAAGGGGCACCCUCCGAGCCCAAGGAAGCGCAGAGCCCAAGCCAGACACCACAGCCCAAGCAGGGAGCCCUGGCUCUGGGACAACUCAUCCUGCCCAAGUCCCACAGAUGGGGAAACUGAGGCCAGCGAGGCAUAGGCUUGGCACAGGGCACGGAGUCCCUGGGGCUCUGCAGCUCACACCCACAGGCAGCACCACGUGAGGCCUCACCAGCUGCUUCCGAGGCUCCCAUACCCGAGUGCUGGGGCCUGGCCCCCUGGAACACAGGUGGCCCAGUGGGGCUGGGAACAGUGAAGUCCCUUGUGGAGUCCCCUGCAGAGGGGCCUGGAGCCUCGGGUCCCUGCAGCCCUGGCAGAGUAGGUGACACCUCCGGGUGGGUUCCAUCGGGGGCGGGGUGGAUGGAGUCCUCCAAGGCAGCCUCUGUGGAGAGGGGUCAGUGCAGUGAGGCCCAGGGCUCCCGUGAUGAAGUUGGACCACCAAGGCGGCCCAGCUGGGGCAGCUCGAGGGCCCCUCCAUGGGGCCCCAGGCCCAGGCUCAGCACCCACGUGUGGCUUCUCCUCCCGGGCCGCCAG